rnacentral:rRNA from 1 species
CCUACGGGGGGCAGUAGUGAGGAAUAUUGGUCAAUGGGCGCGAGCCUGAACCAGCCAAGUCGCGUGAGGGAGGACGGCCCUACGGGUUGUAAACCUCUUUUGCCGGGGAGCAAGGGCGGGGACGUGUCCCGGCCCGGAGAGUACCCGGAGAAAAAGCAUCGGCUAACUCCGUGCCAGCAGCCGCGGUAGUACGGAGGAUGCGAGCGUUAUCCGGAUUUAGUGGGUUUAAAGGGUGCGUAGGCGGGCUUUUAAGUCAGCGGUAAAAAUUCGGGGCUCAACCCCGUCCGGCCGUUGAAACUGGGGGCCUUGAGUGGGCGAGAAGAAGGCGGAAUGCGUGGUGUAGCGGUGAAAUGCAUAGAUAUCACGCAGAACCCCGAUUGCGAAGGCAGCCUUCCGGCGCCCUACUGACGCUGAGGCACGAAAGUGCGGGGAUCGAACAGGAUUAGAUACCCUGGUAGUC